UGCAAAGUUCACACUGAUGGAUUUCUCUCUGGCUUCAGUUAGUGUGAAGCCUUCAGCCAUUCCAGGUUAGGAUCUCCAGCAAUCCAUGGGUGAAAAUGGUGACAAGAAGAGAAGCAGGGCCCAAUGAGGAGUUCUCACUACCUCAAAAAAGAGAUCACACAUAGCCCAUGUUAUGCAGGCCUUCAUCCCAUACCACGUCCACCUUCUGUUUCUUUAGCAACAGUAGUUGACCCAGAAACAUCACGAGGUGUGGCUGACAGACACGAUCAAUCCCAGAUCAGGGCAGGAAAACUUGUGCUGGAUCUGUGAUAACUAAAGGAUUACAUUCUGAAUGGUUCCAUGAAGAUGAUCUUACAGUUAAAGCAAAUUCAGGGUUUUACUACCAGGAGACUUGAUUCAGGAUAACUGGGUCCUAUUUCUGCCUCCUGUAGACCUCCUCUGAGACCUUGGGCAAGUCACAAUCUUUCUCUACGAUAGUUUCCUCUUAGGUAAAAUGGGAAGAGUAUCAGUGAUCUCCAAGUAUUAUCAUUAUUAAUUAUUAUUAUAGCUUUCUUCCUGAACACAGAAAUCAUAUGAAAAACAGUUCUAAAACUAUUCUCAGUGGUAGCUCAAUGGCAGCGGCUCAAAGAUGAAGCACUGUAAUUCAACCAGGCCAAAUAUGUAAUUAGACACAUCGGAUGGCACUAAAUUCCUAUCAGUCAGUUUCUGCGUCUUGCUACUUUCAGUGGAAGAUACCAAAUGCUGUUUAUAUCUAGAGGCCGCUUCCUAAAUCUCUUCCAGUUUGCAACUUCCUUCCAAUUCUUAAGAACCAAAACAUUCUGGAAUAGUAAUACCUAUAAAAGUCAUCUUGAUUUUUUUUUUAAAGCGGAAAUCAAAAGCUGAAGAUAUCUGUAAAAUACAUGAAGCAGGUAGUGAUAUUUCCAGAUCAAGUCACAGGUGUACUGAUUUCACCCCCAACUGAAGGACCUAAUUAUUUUUUAAGGCUUGUUGCAUCUGCAGCCAUAUUGAAUUUUCAUUUUUCAGAAGAGAAAUGUACUUUCUGUGAAUCUGAACAUUUUGAUGUGAUUUCUA
ensembl:lncRNA